ACGCACGCUGGCGGCGUGCUUCACACAUGCAAGUCGAACGGUGAAGCGCCUUCCUUUUUGGUGGGUGUGGAUGAGUGGCGAACGGGUGAGUAACACGUGAGUAACCUGCCCCCUUCUUCUGGAUAACCGCAUGAAAGUGUGGCUAAUACGGGAUAUUCUGGGUCUGUCGCAUGAUGGGUCUGGGAAAGAUAUUGUUUCGGUGGGGGAUGGGCUCGCGGCCUAUCAGCUUGUUGGUGGGGUGAUGGCCUACCAAGGCGGUGACGGGUAGCCGGCCUGAGAGGGUGGACGGUCACACUGGGACUGAGACACGGCACAGACUCCUACGGGAGGCAGCAGUGGGGAAUAUUGCACAAUGGGCGCAAGCCUGAUGCAGCGACGCCGCGUGAGGGAUGGAGGCCUUCGGGUUGUGAACCUCUUUCGCCAGUGAAGCAGGCCUGCCUCGUUUGUGGGUGGGUUGACGGUAGCUGGAUAAGAAGCGCCGGCUAACUACGUG
rnacentral:rRNA from 1 species